GAGCGGCGGACGGGUGAGUAACGCGUGGGUAACCUGCCCUAUACACACGGAUAACGUACCGAAAGGUACGCUAAUACGAGAUAACAUAUUUUUAUCGCAUGGUAAGAAUAUCAAAGCUCCGGCGGUAUAGGAUGGACCCGCGUCUGAUUAGCUAGUUGGUAAGGUAACGGCUUACCAAGGCGACGAUCAGUAGCCGACCUGAGAGGGUGAUCGGCCACAUUGGAGCUGAGACACGGUCCAAACUCCUACGGGAGGCAGCAGUGGGGAAUAUUGCACAAUGGGCGAAAGCCUGAUGCAGCAACGCCGCGUGAGCGAUGAAGGCCUUCGGGUCGUAAAGCUCUGUCCUCAAGGAAGAUAAUGACGGUACUUGAGGAGGAAGCCCCGGCUAACUACGUGCCAGCAGCCGCGGUAAUACGUA
rnacentral:rRNA from 1 species